GCAGUGGUGAUUCAGUGGUAGGAUUUCUGCCUUCCAUGCAGGAGGCCCAGGUUCAAUUCCUGGCCAGUGCA
rfam:Loxodonta africana unplaced genomic scaffold scaffold_19, whole genome shotgun sequence.